rnacentral:lncRNA from 1 species
UAAAGAGACUGAAACAAAUUUAGCAAGCACCUGGAAUUGGUUAGUAAUGGGCUGUGUCAUUUUUCCUGCAUAGCUCUGCCAUCACAAUGCAAAGCUGCUUAUUUGCAGUGUUCAUUUUCACUUAAGGGCAGUCCAGAGUGGCACAUCAAAGAAGAUCUGAUGCCAGAACUCCACCAUCAGAAACAGCAAAGCCCUUCCCUGUCCUGGACAGGAUCCCCAGGUGCCUACUCUCUUCAGUGCUCACCUGACUCUUCCUUCUCAUGAAGGCCAGUGACACCACACUUUUUGCUUUACUGUUCAGGGAUCAAGGAUAGUUUUACAUCUGCUUUUGGGGGGGAAAUGGGAAAUAAAGUAUAAUUGAAUCACAUAAUGUGUAUGAUAUUUGGGUUAAUCUCAUAUACAUAUAUGCACACAUACCCCAUGCAUGCACAUGCAAACACAUGCAUAGCUCAUAAACUUGAGAGUCAAAAAAAUAGAAGGAAAUGAACUCAAUACCAUGGAGAAUAUCUUUUGUUCAUUUAUCUACAUAAACACAAAAGAAAAAAUAGUAGAAAAAGAAAACAGGCAAUUAUAUUACACUCCAUCUACAUCCCCUCUCUCAUAUUACAUUCAUUAAA